UCUGAAGACCCAAGCCUCCCCUGUGUUUACGGGUGACGAUGUCACCUUGUGUUGUCAGCAUCAGAGCGGCAAACACAAACAAACCAGCUUCUUUAAAAACGGAGCAUUGAUUGACUCUAACAGUUCGUCCGGUUCAGACCGAGUCAUAAAGAUGACUCUUAAGAAUGUGACACGGGAAGAUGAAGGCUUCUACAGGUGUGCGUCCCACGUCAGACAACUGCAGAGUCCAGAGAGCUGGUUAUCAGUGAGACCGGACAGAGGUACCAGAAGUUCUGCACUUGGAGCUGCUGGCCAGUUUCCAAACAGGAAGUUCCAGCAGGGGUGCUUCCUGCCACCAAGUUGGAUGUGACGGAGGUGCAGUGGGACCUGUCCUGGAUGGAGAUGUCCAACCUGUUGGAAAAGGAUUCUUAUUGUGGCACUUAAAGGGAAACUCUCUUCUGAAGCCCAGAGAAAGUAUUAACUAUUGGGUCAAACCUAUGAGAAAGCUCAGUCAGUGCUGCAAUUUGUAGUAUUUGAUGGUCACAUGUCAAAAUAGUGCUGCCUGAUAUAUUUUUGAAUUGAAUUAAAUGAGAUGUUUAGGAUUUAUAAGGAUGACUACGUUUGCUGAUGGUGCAGAUUUGAUAGCUUCCAAUACAAAUGUUAUUGUUUCAGUUGUCACAUUUGUCAAUGUCAGUACUCUUGCACAUUUAAACGUCUCUCCUUUGAGUACAUUUUGAAACUAAGAAUCGUAUUUGUUAUAUCUUAUUAUCUAAUCAUUAAUAUAAUUGACUGUUCUAAAUCAUUUUACAUGUAUCAUUUCUCCUGUGUUUGUUCGAGGUUCCAUGUUGUUUGCUCCCUUUGAAUCGUUACUUGCUAUUUCUUGUCGUCUGAAGUUAUAAAAGUCAUGGAGAUCGUC